AGGACCAGGGAUGUAGCUCAGUAUGAAGGCCCUGGCUUCAAUCCUCAAUAUCAUUUUUUUUUUUUUAAUGUGGAGGCUCGGCGCAAUGAAGCGGCUUGGCUGUCCUGGGGACGAGAAGGGGUGGAAGUUGAGCUGUACUGCACCCCUGACGGUCGCAGGAGCAAGGCCCCCCGAGCUGUCCAGAAGGAAGUGAGCUGCCUCCCCAGAGCGUGGACAAGGCCCUCUCCGCGGGGGAGCAGGGAAGUCUGUUGCCAUGGAAAUCGGGUGGCUUCCCCAGGCCUGGCAGGCAGCAAACAGUGUGCUUGCUCUUCUUCACCCUCACCAACGGCCUCCAUCUGCAGGGCCCCCAUCUGCAGGGAACCCCACUGCCCGCCUCGCAAGCUUCUUCCCAGCUCAGGAUGCUGUCCUCGCGCCCCGUGUGACCGCGCGUGUCGUCGUGGGACCUCCACCCAUCCUCAGCCCCGCCUGACCCGCUUCCGGGCACCCACAGAGCCCUUCACUGGGCGCCAAGUGGUUGGCAAGAGAGAAGGCAUUGUUCCCUCCCUACAAGCAGCUCCCUGCAGCCCCCCAGCUGAGCAGUGUGUGCCCCACCACUAGGCCACAGGUUGUAACUCUGAG
rnacentral:lncRNA from 1 species